UACGUAGGUGGCGAGCGUUAUCCGGAAUUACUGGGUGUAAAGGGUGUGUAGGCGGGUAGCCAAGUCAGAUGUGAAAAUUAAGGGCUCAACCCAUAGCCUGCGUCUAAAACUGGUUAUCUUGAGAGUGGGAGAGGUAAACGGAAUUCCUGGUGUAGCGGUGAAAUGCGUAGAUAUCAGGAGGAACACCGGUGGCGAAGGCGGUUUACUGGACCACAACUGACGCUGAGACACGAAAGCGUGGGGAGCAAAC
rnacentral:rRNA from 1 species